GUUUACAAUAUUAUUGCUUGUAAAGAUACGCUUUAAUCAAUUUACCUCAGGAAAUGUGUAAACACUUGAAGCAUAAACAGUAGGUAUCACAAUUAAUGAUGAUAACUUUGCUUGCUUCCAGUAAUUAAAAUCCAAGCUGUUCUACUUGCACAAGUUCAUGGAAUUCUGUACUUGACGUGCAAGGCUGGAACACAUUAUUAGUUAUGAAUGAUGGUAGUUGAAAUUUGAAAGCAACAUCGUCUUCAACUCAUCAAUAUCCCUAAGCAAUUUCUCAUUCUCAAGGUUCAUAUUCUGUAUCUCAACAUGUAAAGCAGAGUUUGAAUCCUGAAGAUCCUGAAGAACUUCUUCCACAAAUGCCAACAUUGAAUUCUUUAAAGCAUCAUUUUUCUGAUCCAAGAGACGGAUUUCAUUUUCAAAAAACUCUUUCUCUGAUAACAGUUUCAUGAGUUCAUCAUUUUCUCCUUUGUCAAUUUCCCUCUGAAACUCUAGGCAUUGCAUGGCAAACUGUUCCCGCUUAUUGUUCAUUCUUUUAAGCGUCUCCUCUCGCUUUUUUCUUAGACUAGACAGUUCCGCCUCCAAUAAUUUGGCAGAUUUUCUUGAUUCGUUUGUGACGGAGACCAAUCCGAUUAUCUCAAAUUGAGAGACGUAAAGCGUCUUAGUGAGCUCCGAUUCUCUGGCAGCCAAGGUGGAUUCAUAUUCCGUACAUUUCACGAUCUCCGACUCGAUCUCUCGCGUUACUUGAAUAUUGGCCUCAAUUUCUUCAUUUACUUGAUCGAGCAUGUCCUUAAGCGAAGAGAUUUGACAGAGAAUCACGCCUGAGUCGUCCAUG
rnacentral:misc_RNA from 1 species